rnacentral:lncRNA from 1 species
GAGGGAGGGAGGAAGGGAGGGAGGGGGAGAGAUAGAGAUAGAGAGAGAGAGAGAGGUUCACACGGUGGGACAUGUCAUUUCACACGUCACUCCACAAGACGCGACGGCCAGAUAUGGACGGCCGGCAACCACUACCGCCGCCCAUCUUCGCCCGUUUAUCAUGGUUCCUCCCUCGACUGCCCAUCGACUCCAAUCCGAUCCGACUGAACCGGUAUCGAAUCGGAUGAGUCGACUCAUUUUCGUCCGAUCGACGGCACUUCUCUCAAAGUCUUCUUGAGAGAUGCACACGAAGUUGGCUGACCAUAGAGAGAGAGAGAGAGAUGCCCAUCUAAACCAUAGCCGCUCUAUGUCUUGUUCAGACCCGGAGAAUGACGACCCAGACGAGUCAACUCAGUAUCGUUGGGCACAGUGCAACGCUCCGUCCGGGGGGUGUAUCGACUCAUCUUCCUCUCCCAGAUGAUGAUUAAGUUUGCUGAGAGGUUCCCGAGUCAGAUGAGUCAACUCAUUAACUAGUCUUCUUUUCACGGAUGGUGGUGAAGUCUGCACGAAGAGAGAUAGACGGAGCGAGAGAGAGAGAGAGAGAGAGAGAGAGA